UACAGAGGGUGCAAGCGUUUAAUCGGAAUUACUGGGCGUAAAGCGCACGUAGGUGGUUUGGCAAGUUGGAUGUGAAAGCCCUGGGCUUAACCUGGGAACUGCAUUCAAUACUACUAAGCUAGAGUGGAGUAGAGGGAAGUGGAAUUUCCGGUGUAGCGGUGAAAUGCGUAGAUAUCGGGAGGAACACCAGUGGCGAAGGCGGUUGCCUGGAGCUUUGCUGACGCUGAUGCGCGAAAGCGUGGGGAGCGAGUCCGG
rnacentral:rRNA from 1 species